GGGAUUAUAGUUUAUUUAAAACAUUUAAUUUGCAAUUAAAAAUAACUUUAUAGUUUUUCUCA
rnacentral:tRNA from 3 species